GACGAACGCUGGCGGCGUGCUUAACACAUGCAAGUCGAACGGAAAGGCCCUGCUUUUGUGGGGUGCUCGAGUGGCGAACGGGUGAGUAACACGUGAGUAACCUGCCCUUGACUUUGGGAUAACUUCAGGAAACUGGGGCUAAUACCGGAUAGGAGCUCCUGCUGCAUGGUGGGGGUUGGAAAGUUUCGGCGGUUGGGGAUGGACUCGCGGCUUAUCAGCUUGUUGGUGGGGUAGUGGCUUACCAAGGCUUUGACGGGUAGCCGGCCUGAGCGGGUGACCGGCCACAGUGGGACUGAGAUACGGCCCAGACUCCUACGGGGGGCAGCAGUGGGGAAUAUUGCACAAUGGGCGGAAGCCUGAUGCAGCAACGCCGCGUGCGGGAUGACGGCCUUCGGGUUGUAAACCGCUUUCGCCUGUGACGAAGCGUGAGUGACGGUAAUGGGUAAAGAAGCACCGGCUAACUACGUG
rnacentral:rRNA from 1 species